AGUGAACGCUGGCGGUAGGCCUAACACAUGCGAGUCGAACGGCAGCACAGUAAGAGCUUGCUCUUACGGGUGGCGAGUGGCGGACGGGUGAGGAAUACAUCGGAAUCUACUUUUUCGUGGGGGAUAACGUAGGGAAACUUACGCUAAUACCGCAUACGACCUACGGGUGAAAGCAGGGGAUCUUCGGACCUUGCGCGAUUGAAUGAGCCGAUGUCGGAUUAGCUAGUUGGCGGGGUAAAGGCCCACCAAGGCGACGAUCCGUAGCUGGUCUGAGAGGAUGAUCAGCCACACUGGAACUGAGACACGGUCCAGACUCCUACGGGAGGCAGCAGUGGGGGAUAUUGGACAAUGGGCGCAAGCCUGAUCCAGCCAUACCGCGUGGGUGAAGAAGGCCUUCGGGUUGUAAAGCCCUUUUGUCGGGAAAGAAAAGCAGCAGGUUAAUACCCCGCUGUUCUGACGGUACCCAAAGAAUAAGCACCGGCUAACUUCGUG
rnacentral:rRNA from 1 species